CAGAUGAAGAAAUGAAAGAGUUCCCUCUCACAUAUCACUACUGUCUCUUUUACAUCUACAAACCCUAUUCAUCUUCUAUCUCCAUGUCCACGAAACCCACUUGAAUGGCUGCGUGAACCACGACUGAUGACCAUUGCAUGGAAGAAUAAACAAAAACUCCAUUAGUUUUUUCUCAAUCGAAUCAUGCAACUCAAAUCCUUUGAUCUGGUUGAAGUUGAGUUCGAUUUCUGAAAAGCGGUGGCGCUAUGCGAUCGAUCCUGUAGCAGAAUGAUGAUGCGGCGGUGCUCAAAUUGCAGCCACAAUGGUCACAACUCUCAAACUUUUUCGAAUUGCAUUGUGAAGCUCUUUGGAGUCUGAUUAACCAACAGUUCCAUCCGAAUUCUGAGCAUUGUGCUGCGGAUGACGAAAAUGCAUUGAAGGAAUUCGUUCCUAGCUCUUCUUCUAGUUGCCAUGAGAGGAAGCAAGCCAAAGAUUGACUGUUAAAGAAAGUCUUUAGCCAGAGAUCAUACCUAUUACAAGCAAGAAAGUAUCUGGCAAGUGUAGAUUUUGAUCGCAAUAUGACGAAUUCUUGCUAGUGCGGGUAUCUCACAUUGUAUCAAGGUUUUUUAGGUUAGCUCGAAAAGCAGCUUGUAGCAAAAUUGGUAUUGGGUCAUCUUCUCCUUGCAGGUUUGUAUUAUUUAAAACUUUAAUCAAUACCCCCAUUUGUUAUUUGAUUAUUGAAAUAGUCUUUUGUGAAUCAUACUAAUGUUUAGAACAGUGUUUUCACUAUAAUGCAAAUCAAUGAUUGGGAGAAUAGUCAAAUUGCUACAAGCACUAUAAUGAUAAUCUUCAUAAAAGAUUGAUGUUUUUGGGUUUGGCAUAUUGGUUCUUGAACUUUUGACAGGGCAAAAAGCACUUGAUGUUGACAAUGGUCAAAUUCGAAAGGGAAUGAUCCUCGAAUGGGUAUGUCUCUUUCUUAUGAUGUGUUGUUUGCUUAUCAUUUGGUACUUUUAUUAAACUUACUAUUUGUAUUACUCUCUUCUUGUAAUAACUUUUCAUAAUGUUCCUUUGUUUCACAUUCUAUUGUUAUAUUAUAGAAAUAAGCUUUUUUAUUCUCACAGCGAUGAAGAUUUGAGUAAGUUUCAUAUUUUUGUCUGUUUUAUGUUUCUUUAAUUGGCAUUGCAAAUUUAUUGCAGUUGCAUUAUCUUUUGUUUUCUUUUUCUACGUAAUUGAAGAUUUGAGUAAGUAUGAUUUACUCAUCAAUGUGUGGAAGGGAAAUCUUAUUUAUGGGAGAUUUCUAUUUAAUCUCUUGUCUUAUUAUUGGUAAUAAUUGCAAGCUACACAACAAGUUUGACAUAAAUCCUUACAUUUCAACAACUUUGGUCUCCAAUACGAGGAAUUGAUGACUUGGUUGCAAGUAAUUUAUUUUGGAUGUUUGUCUUGAUUUUUGGCGGGUAUUCUUCUAGAAUUAAUUUGAAAGUUUAUAAUAAAUCUGGAUUGAAUUUUGGUUUUCUUGUCAAAACAUUACGGUUCUCAGAAUUGGAGUUUGAUUUGCAAAAUUUCAUUUUGUUUUUGCAACCAUCUUUUAAGUUUAUGAAUAUCAAGCAGUUUCAGAGGUGAGUUCAUGUUUGUUAUUGUUGUUGUUGUGAGACGGUGGAGUGGUGAUAUUUCUUUAUCUGUGGAGGAGAAUAUCCUUUGGCUUGUGUUUAUUUUGAUUUUUUUAUUUUAUUAUUGAAUUGAGUUUGUAGUUUCUAAAGAAAUAUGAGAAAAACCGUUCAGACAUGGCUUGUUUGGUAGUUUUGAAGAUGAACUCUGUAAGCUGUUGUCUGAUUAUUUGACCCAUUCUUGUAUUACAGGCUUCGUGAAUUGAAACAGCUUGGUGAAUACUUUUGUAUGUUUAUUCAUUUUUGUGAAUGAUGUUCUAUAUUUAAUUGUUAGUCCUUGAAUUUGAGGUCGCUACAUUCACAAAUAUGAAUAUGUAUUUAGGAGGUGUGCAUAUGAUACUUUUAGGCUAGCUACUUAAAAUCAGAAAUUGGCAUUUAGUCAAAUAUUGCUGAGGAUUUCCUGAUUAUAAUCAGAUUUUUAAGUUAAUAAACUGGUAUUAUUGAUAGAAGCUUGUGCUUCACUCGUUGUUUGGUUUGGAGUCUAGACUGAACUUUUUCUCGACAGUUUGACAGUAAGGUUUAGCUGAAGUUUUGUAGGUACAAAAUUUAUAUUCAACGUAUUCUAUUAGUUUCAUGUGCUUACAAUCAAGUUUGUAUACUUUCAGGUGUGACACAUAUGGUAUGGAGGUAAGGAUAGAGAAUAUUGAUUUUAAUCGGGUUGGUCUAGUGAUCAAAAUAGUAAUUUAUUUCUAGAGUAACCUCUUUGUUUCACAAGGGAACAAGCUAAAGGUGAUAUCCAAAAAUUAUUUUUGAUGAAACAUAAGAUUAAUUUGUAUUCAAUUUAUAUACAUGCAGUGUCCUCGUCAAUUGGAUUAUGUAGAGUGUGGGUACUACGUGCAAAAUUACAUACAUGAGAUAGUGCAUAAUUCUAGUACUUCUAUUACUAGCCUUUUCAAUACCAAAAGUGCAUAUAGGCAAGAGGAGAUUGACGAGAUUCGAACCAAAUGGGCAGCUUUUGUUAGUAGAUUUGUGUAAGCUUUUGAAUGUUUUUUUUUUUUUGGUCCAGUUAAGUUAGUAGUUGAUUUCUGUAGUUAAGUUAGUAGUUGGUCGAGUUAAGUUAAGUUUUUUAGGGUCGGGCAGUCCUAUAGUUUUUUUAAGGACAGGUGGUCUCGUACUAAUUGUUGUUUGUUAGAUAGUUUGUACGUAUACUUUAGUUAGUGGAGGAACUUUCUAUUGUACAUAUACAUUGGUUAUUAAUCACGAUCUUAUAUAUUAUCUUUA